UGAAGAUUAUCUUAUGAUUAUGAAAAUGGACUAUUGUUGUGAUGAAGAUUAUCAAUAGGACAAUGGACUAUUGUUGUGAUGAAGGUUAUCUUAUGAUUAUGAAAAUGGACUAUUGUUGUGAUGAAAGUUAUCAAUAGGACAAUGGACUAUUGUUGUGAUGAAGGUUAUCAAUAGGACAAAGGACUAUUGUUGUGAUGAAGGUUAUCAAUAGGACAAAGGACUAUUGUGAUGAAGAUUAUCAAUAGGACAAUGGACUAUUGUUGUGAUGAAGGUUAUCAAUAGGACAAAGGACUAUUGUUGUGAUGAAGAUUAUCAAUAGGACAAAGGACUAUUGUUGUGAUGAAGGUUAUCACUAGGACAAAGGACUAUUGUUGUGAUUAAGAUUAUCAAUACUAAAAAGGACUAUUGUUGUGAUAAAGGAAAUCUAAUAUUACAAAGGACUAUUGUUGUGAUGAUGACAAAGGACUAUUGUUAGACCACACAUGGUCAUGUAUUAAAGCAUUAUGUAAAUU